UACGGAGGGGGCAAGCGUUGUUCGGAAUUACUGGGCGUAAAGCGCACGUAGGCGGAUGCACAAGUUGGGGGUGAAAGCCCAGGGCUUAACCCUGGAACUGCCUUCAAGACUGUGCGUCUUGAGUUCGAGAGAGGUAAGGGGAAUUCCUAGUGUAGAGGUGAAAUUCGUAGAUAUUAGGAAGAACACCGGUGGCGAAGGCGCCUUACUGGCUCGAUACUGACGCUGAGGUGCGAAAGCGUGGGGAGCAAACAGG
rnacentral:rRNA from 1 species